rnacentral:rRNA from 1 species
ACAGUAUAUAAGAGUUUGAUCAUGGCUCAGGACGAACGCUGGCGGCGUGCUUAACACAUGCAAGUCGAACGGUGAAGCCUUCGGGUGGAUCAGUGGCGAACGGGUGAGUAACACGUGGGCGAUCUGCCCUGCACUCUGGGACAAGCCCUGGAAACGGGGUCUAAUACCGGAUAUGACCUUCCUCCGCAUGGGGGUUGGUGUAAAGCUCCGGCGGUGCAGGAUGAGCCCGCGGCCUAUCAGCUUGUUGGUGGGGUAAUGGCCUACCAAGGCGACGACGGGUAGCCGGCCUGAGAGGGCGACCGGCCACAUUGGGACUGAGACACGGCCCAGACUCCUACGGGAGGCAGCAGUGGGGAAU